rnacentral:rRNA from 1 species
UACGGGGGGAGCAAGCGUUGUUCGGAUUUACUGGGCGUAAAGGGCGCGUAGGCGGCCACGACAAGUCACUUGUGAAAUCUCCGGGCUUAACUCGGAACGGUCAAGUGAUACUGUCGGGCUAGAGUGCAGAAGGGGCAACUGGAAUUCUCGGUGUAGCGGUGAAAUGCGUAGAUAUCGAGAGGAACACCUGCGGCGAAGGCGGGUUGCUGGGCUGACACUGACGCUGAGGCGCGAAAGCUAGGGGAGCAAACGGG